rnacentral:lncRNA from 1 species
CUCCGUGAAUUUCGGACAUUUGCGGCGCGGACCCGGAAUAUCGAUCCGUCGCGUGAGCGUCCCGUGACGUCAGGUGCCGCCAGCGCGAAAAAGGUGUAAAUUGGAUCACGCGUGCGCUGCGACUGAACACAUUAUUAUUAUUAUUAUUAUUAUUAUUAUUAUUAUUAUUAUUAUUAUUAUUUAUUGUUGUUGGUAACGCAAAUGACCCCGCCGGUGUGUCCCGCCAGGUGUCCAAACCUGAGAUGGAGAAGAAGAGGAGACGGGACCGGAGCAGCUCGAAUCCCCGCAGUGCUGCAGGAGCACAGCGCUCGAAAUGAUCCACGCCGCACCCCGGACCCGCCCAGUACAGAGCCCAGUUCAGAACCUGUCUCGUGACUGUAAACCGGUUCGUCUGGUCGCCGGACGGCGCGAGAAAGGGGUUUCGCUCGCGCGCGCUCGCGUGCCAGUCCGCCUGCCCCUGCUCCUCCGGCACCGCGGGUAGCUAGCGCGCUUUGCGCGUGGCGUGC